AGCUUUGUGCAGUGACAGUAUCGUAGCCAAUGAGGUUUAUCCGAGACACGAUUAUUGCUAAUUGAAAACUUUUCCCAAUACUGUAUUGAAUGACCUGAUUUUUUUUCCCUUAUCUAUGUAAAUCUUUGUACUAUCUUCUUCAUGGU